GAUGAAGAACGUAGCGAAAUGCGAUAAGUAAUGUGAAUUGCAGAAUUCAGUGAAUCAUCGAAUCUUUGAACGCACAUUGCGCCCGCCAGCAUUCUGGCGGGCAUGCCUGUUCGAGCGUCAUUUCAACCCUCAAGCUCUGCUUGGUGUUGGGGCCCUACGGUUGACGUAGGCCCUUAAAGGUAGUGGCGGACCCUCUCGGAGCCUCCUUUGCGUAGUAACUAACGUCUCGCAUUGGGAUUCGGAGGGACUCUUGCCGUAAAACCCCCAAAUUUUCUAAUGGUUGACCUCGGAUCAGGUAGGAAUACCCGCUGAACUUAAGCAUAUCAUAAGCGGAGGA
rnacentral:misc_RNA from 1 species